rnacentral:piRNA from 1 species
CAUUAAUUAAUGUUGAAGCACAAUCUCUCU